CCUACGGGAGGCAGCAGUGGGGAAUAUUGGUCAAUGGACGAGACUCUGAUCCAGCCAAGUAGCGUGAAGGAUGACUGCCCUAUGGGUUGUAAACUUCUUUUAUAAUGGAGUAAAACGAGGCACGUGUGCCUUUUUGCCUCUACUUUAUGAAUAAGAAUCGGCUAAAUCCGUGCAAGCAGCCGCGGUAAUACGGAGGAUCCUAGCGGUAUCCGGAGUUAUUGGGGUUAACGGGAGCGUAGAUGGGUUGUUAAGUCAGCUGUGAAAGUUUGCGGCUCAACCGGAAAAUUGCAAUUGAUACUGGCAGUCUUGAGUACAGUUGAGGUAGGCGGAAUUCGUGGUGUAGCGGUGAAAUGCGUAGAUAUCACGAAGAACCCCGAUUGCGAAGGCAGCCUACUAAACUGUGACUGACAUUGAUGCUCGAAAGUGUGGGUAUCAAACAGGAUUAGAUACCCGGGUAGUC
rnacentral:rRNA from 1 species